UUGGAGGGCAAGUCUGGUGCCAGCAGCCGCGGUAAUUCCAGCUCCAAUAGCGUAUAUUAAAGUUGUUGCAGUUAAAAAGCUCGUAGUUGAAUUUCGGGGUUCAUCCGUUGGUCGGGCUUUUUUGGUCUGUACUGGCGUGAUGGAUUCCUACCUUCUGAAUAACCAGCAUGUCAUUAAUUUGGUGCGCUGGGGAAGCAGGACUGUUACCUUGAAAAAAUUAGAGUGCUUAAAGCAGGCUAUCGCCUGAAUACAUUAGCAUGGAAUAAUGAAAUAGGACGGCAUGGUUCUAUUUUGUUGGUUUCUAGGAUCACCGUAAUGAUUAAUAGGGAUAGUUGGGGGCAUUAGUACUCAAUUGUCAGAGGUGAGAUUCUUGGAUUUAUUGAAGACUAACUUCUGCGAAAGCAUUUGCCAAGGAUGUUUUCAUUAAUCAAGAACGAAAGUUAGGGGAUCGAAGACGAUCAGAUACCGUCGUAGUCUUAACCAUAAACUAUGCCGACUAGGGAUCGGACGAUGUUAAUUUUUUAAUGACUCGUUCGGCGCCUUACGGGAAAC
rnacentral:rRNA from 1 species